rnacentral:rRNA from 1 species
GACGAACGCUGGCGGCGUGCUUAACACAUGCAAGUCGAGCGGUAAGGCCCUUUCGGGGGUACGACGAGCGGCGAACGGGUGAGUAACACGUGGGUGACCUGCCCUCCAGCUCUGGGAUAAGCCUGGGAAACUGGGUCUAAUACUGGAUAUGACUCCACGGUGCAUGUCGUGGGGUGGAAAGCCUUGUGCGGCUGAGGAUGGGCCCGCGGCCUAUCAGCUUGUUGGUGGGGNGAUGGCCUACCAAGGCGACGACGGGUAGCCGGCCUGAGAGGGCGACCGGCCACACUGGGACUGAGACACGGCCCAGACUCCUACGGGAGGGCAGCAGUGGGGAAUCUUGCGCAAUGGGCGAAAGCCUGACGCAGCGACGCCGCGUGAGGGAUGACGGCCU